rnacentral:rRNA from 1 species
UACGUAGGCAGCAAGCGUUGUUCGGAAUUACUGGGCGUAAAGAGUGUGUAGGCGGUGCUCUAAGUUUGGUGUGAAAUCUCCCGGCUCAACUGGGAGGGUGCGCCGAAAACUGGAAUGCUUGAACGUGGGAGAGGAAAGCGGAAUUCCUGGUGUAGCGGUGAAAUGCGUAGAUAUCAGGAGGAACACCGGUGGCGAAGGCGGGUCUCUGGGCCGAUACUGACGCUGAGGAGCGAAAGCGUGGGGAGCGAACAGG